GAUGAACGCUGGCGGCGUGCCUAAUACAUGCAAGUCGAGCGAACGGACGAGAAGCUUGCUUUUCUGAUGUUAGCGGCGGACGGGUGAGUAACACGUGGAUAACCUACCUAUAAUACUGGGAUAACUUCGGGAAACCGGAGCUAAUACCGGAUAAUAUUUUGAACCGCAUGGUUCAAAAGUGAAAGACGGUCUUGCUGUCACUUAUAGAUGGAUCCGCGCUGCAUUAGCUAGUUGGUAAGGUAACGGCUUACCAAGGCAACGAUGCAUAGCCGACCUGAGAGGGUGAUCGGCCACACUGGAACUGAGACACGGUCCAGACUCCUAAGGGAGGCAGCAGUAGGGAAUCUUCCGCAAUGGGCGAAAGCCUGACGGAGCAACGCCGCGUGAGUGAUGAAGGUCUUCGGAUCGUAAAACUCUGUUAUUAGGGAAGAACAUAUGUGUAAGUAACUGUGCACAUCGUGACGGUACCUAAUCAGAAAGCCACGGCUAACUACGUG
rnacentral:rRNA from 1 species